rnacentral:rRNA from 1 species
GUGCACGCUGGCGGUAGGCCUAACCCCUGCAAGUCGCACGGCAGCACAGUAAGAGCUUGCUCUUACGGGUGGCGAGUGGCGGACGGGUGAGGAUUACAUCGGAAUCUACUUUUUCGUGGGGGAUAACGUAGGGAAACUUACGCUAAUACCGCAUACGACCUACGGGUGAAAGCAGGGGAUCUUCGGACCUUGCGCGAUUGAAUGAGCCGAUGUCGGAUUAGCUAGUUGGCGGGGUAAAGGCCCACCAAGGCGACGAUCCGUAGCUGGUCUGAGAGGAUGAUCAGCCACACUGGAACUGAGACACGGUCCAGACUCCUACGGGAGGUAGCAGUGGGGAAUAUUGGACAAUGGGCGCAAGCCUGAUCCAGCCAUACCGCGUGGGUGAAGAAGGCCUUCGGGUUGUAAAGCCCUUUUGUUGGGAAAGAAAAGCAGCAGGUUAAUACCCCGCUGUUCUGACGGUACCCAAAGAAUAAGCACCGGCUAACUUCGUG